rnacentral:lncRNA from 1 species
AGGUUAGCUCUUCACUGCACUGCGUCUUCUUUCCAAGGGUCUCGGUGAUUCGGCCACAGCCUCAGCCUCCAUCACGCGGUGAACUGAUGGUGUUGGAAGAUUCAUAGACUCCAGGACAUUCCUGAAGCCGAGAAAAGGUUAAGUAGGGUCUGGCCUGGAAUACUCUCCUAGAUGAAAAUAGCCCAACCAUGAGCCACCUUCUCAGCAGAUGAGAUGAAAUUAAAGCUCUUCAACUCCUCAAGGCCCAGAGACUAUCACAAAAGAGGUCAGAAAUCCUGAAGGUCACUUUCUGACAAACUCAGGAGCCCCAGGUUUAUCUUGGAGCCUCAAGAGGAGAUAAAUUCACCCAACUCAGGCUGGAGUGCAGUGGAAUGAUCUUGGCUCACUUCUAUCUCUGCCUUCCAGUUUCAAGUGAUUCUCCUGCCUCAGCCUACUGAGUAGUUGGGAUUACAGGUGCCUGCCACCACACCCAGCUAAUUUUUGUAUUUUUAGUAAAGAUGGGGUUUCACCAUGUUGGCCAGGCUGGUCUCAAACUCCUGAUGUCAUGAUCUGCCCGCUUCAGUCUCCCAAAGUGUGAUUACAGAGUGAGGCUGGCUGGAGGAGCCUGGGCUCCUCUGUCCUCCCCGAGGUGGCAGUGGUUGAUGUCUGCUCAGGUGUGAGGGGUGCUGCCAUGCUCUGGGCCUGAGGCUGCCUGGCCCAGCCCCUCCUAACUCCCUGGACUCUUCCACGGUGUCUUCAGGCCCCUACACCAUCCUUUGUAUAAGGGGAGGUGGCAGCAUAGACAUGAUGGGGGAACUGCCCCAUGUGCCAAGGAAAGCUCACCCAUCUGUG